rnacentral:rRNA from 1 species
CAGCAGCCGCGGUAAUACCGGCGGCCCGAGUGGCGGCCACUAUUAUUGGGCCUAAAGCGUCCGUAGCCGGGUUGGGAAGUCCUCCGGGAAAUCUGGCCGCUUAACGGUCAGAAUGCCGGAGGAUACUCCCAGCCUAGGGAGCGGGAGAGGCCGAGGGUAUUCCCGGAGUAGGGGUGAAAUCCUAUAAUCCCGGGAGGACACCUGUGGCGAAGGCGCUCGGCUGGCACGCGUCCGACGGUGAGGGACGAAGGCCAGGGGAGCAAACCGGAUUAGAUACCCGGGUAGUCCUGGCUGUAAACGAUGCGGACUUUGUGUCGGACAAGCUAUGAGCUUGUCCGGUGCCGGAGGGAAACCGUUAAGUCCGCCGCCUGGGGAGUACGGCCGCAAGGCUGAAACUUAAAGGAAUUGGCGGG